rnacentral:sRNA from 1 species
AGUUUAAACAUUUGCGAUUCGAUUCUGAAGUGAACAACAAAUGUUGACGUACGACGCCAGCAGCGCUGCCCGCUUGGAGGUCGACGCCGACGGUCCACGGACGUUCAGUCUGCUCACCUAGCAGAACUAGCUGUUGUUAGAAGCAGCCAGCAGUACAAAGCAAACUUAGCAUUGGAAGUCAGUGUUGCUAAUGAAGCUUUUUUUGCUCCCUUAAUUCUAGCUUGGUUUGCUCUGACUAUUUCUUGUCUACUAUAAUAUGUACAAUUUAUACCAAAAACUAAGCAGCAGUUUUAAAAUAAUAAAAAACAAACAGAUGUCAUGUUAUUUUAGCUGCAGCUUUCGCCUUCAAAUCUUUUAAUGGUUUUUACUUGUACCCCACGUCUAAAACUAGCUUGUUUUUUUUUCUUAGUUAUUCAAAAGUGGGGGCAACACUAUUGGUGGUGACGUUGAGAACGAGAACAACAACAAUAGCAGCCGCAGCAGCGACGACGGCAACGGCGACGGCGGCAAUUUAGACGACGUCCUUCAAGCGAGCGUUAGAAGUGACGGCGGCGACGUCAGCUGCAAUGACCUAAAGUAACCCACCAAUGGGAAGGCGAACGCGGCGAGUAUUGCACAAUGUACACGACAAGGCGAAAAGCAGAGAGGUGUGUGGAGAACAGGAGAGACGAGACGAGGCGACCGAACAACUUCAAUUGAGGUCAACACUUUGCGAACGUCUCAGACUGCCACUGAUAGUUAAUGCCACCAGGGAGAACAUCAGGGGUGGGGGGAGGGGUUACUGUCCAACCGUCCGAGUCGCAAGCAGAUAGCAGCAGCAGCAGCUGGAAGUCGUCACUCAAUAGGCACUGGAAAGGGGGGGAGGGACAGCAGGCAGUGCGACAAGUUUAACAAGUCAGUCCAGAACUGGAACAACCAGAGCAACAUCAUCAACAACAACAACAUUCUGACGUACAUCGAGAGCAAAAACAAAUAAAUAAAAUCAACUGUAUAAAUGAUCUACAGUUUGUUGCGGCUUAAA